AGUGAACGCUGGCGGUAGGCCUAACACAUGCAAGUCGAACGGCAGCACAGAGGAGCUUGCUCCUUGGGUGGCGAGUGACGGACGGGUGAGGAAUACAUCGGAAUCUACUCUGUCGUGGGGGAUAACGUAGGGAAACUUACGCUAAUACCGCAUACGACCUACGGGUGAAAGCAGGGGAUCUUCGGACCUUGCGCGAUUGAAUGAGCCGAUGUCGGAUUAGCUAGUUGGCGGGGUAAAGGCCCACCAAGGCGACGAUCCGUAGCUGGUCUGAGAGGAUGAUCAGCCACACUGGAACUGGGACACGGUCCAGACUCCUACGGGAGGCAGCAGUGGGGAAUAUUGGACAAUGGGCGCAAGCCUGAUCCAGCCAUACCGCGUGGGUGAAGAAGGCCUUCGGGUUGUAAAGCCCUUUUGUUGGGAGAGAAAUCCAUCUGGCUAAUACCCGGGUGGGAUGACGGUACCCAAAGAAUAAGCACCGGCUAACUUCGUGCCAGCCGCCGCCGUAA
rnacentral:rRNA from 1 species